GACGAACGCUGGCGGCGUGCCUAAUACAUGCAAGUCGAACGCAGUGGGGACGGGUGAGUAACACGUGGGUAACCUGCCCAUCAGAGGGGAUAACACUUGGAAACAGGUUCUAAACAGAUACUGAUGGAUGGUACCGGGGGGCAUUAGCUAGUUGGUUAGGUAACGGCUGACCAAGGCCACGAUGCAUAGCCGACCUGAGAGGGUGAUCGGCCGCACUGGGACUGAGACAAGGCCCAGACUCCUACGGGAGGCAGCAGGAGGGAAUCUGCGGCAAUGGACGCAAGUCUGACCGAGCAACGCCGCGGGAGUGAAGAAGGUGUUCGGAUCGUAAAACUCUGUUGUUUGAGAAGCGGUAUCUAACCAGAAAGCCACGGCUAACUACGUGCCAGCAGCCGCGGUAAUAC
rnacentral:rRNA from 1 species